GGAUUAGAUACCCUGGUAGUCCACGCCGUAAACGAUGGAUACUAGCUGUUUGGGGUAUCGACCCCCUGAGUAGCGAAGCUAACGCGUUAAGUAUCCCGCCUGUGGAGUACGAUCGCAAGAUUAAAACAUAAAGGAAUUGACGGGGACCCGCACAAGCGGUGGAUCAUGUUCUUUAAUUCGAUGAUAACCGAUAAACCUUACCAGGUCUUGACAUCCUUGGAAUCUUUCAGAAAUGAGAGAGUGCUUUUUAAGAGCCAAGUGACAGGUGAUGCAUGGCCGUCGUCAGCUCGUGCCG
rnacentral:rRNA from 1 species